rnacentral:rRNA from 1 species
UACGUAGGGCGCAAGCGUUGUCCGGAAUUAUUGGGCGUAAAGAGCUCGUAGGCGGCUUGUUGCGUCGGCUGUGAAAACCCAUGGCUCAACCGUGGGCUUGCAGCCGAUACGGGCAGGCUAGAGUUCGGUAGGGGAGACUGGAAUUCCUGGUGUAGCGGUGAAAUGCGCAGAUAUCAGGAGGAACACCGGUGGCGAAGGCGGGUCUCUGGGCCGAUACUGACGCUGAGGAGCGAAAGCGUGGGGAGCGAACAGG